rnacentral:lncRNA from 1 species
UGCAUAAACCACAAAAACUACAGAAGGUAUCUUCUUGCAGUUACUAUAGAUAGCUACGUGUGCAUGUAAUUUUGUUGGUGAAACAGAAGAAGCUAAGGCUGUAUUUAUAAUGAACCUUUUGAAAUCUAUGUGGGAACCUUCCUGGAAGUUUCCCUGUUGCUUUUUCUUUAUAUAAGAUAUUAUUUAAAAAUUCCUCUUAAAUUCAUUAUUAGAUAUCAUUCAGAUAUAAAAAUUAAACCUAGUUAAUAUAAUUUUCAUUCGGGUCUUAAUCCUUGUUUAACAUGCAAAACAAAAUAUGCACUCAUUGUUGUUUCAAACAGAGAAAAUAAGGACUGAUGAAAGUACAAAUCACUGUACGGCUAUACUUUACUAUGGAGUCUUACCAACUUGACUGUCAAUUUUGAACAGUGAAAUAAACUUGGAUUACAUUAUUGAUCCUAAAAGUCAUAGAACUAAUUAAUAAUUAACAAUACUAUUAUAAUUAUUAACUUUGGAUCAAGAUGUUAGACUUUUAUUUUAUUUUAUUAAACUACUACUUUCUUUUACUCAAUAACAGUUUUAAAAUUUGAUUUAAAUAAAAAUAUUUAUAAAAUACUGUAGAUUUUAAUACUAUAUUAGUUUAGAACAUUUGUUUUAUUUUCAAUGUCAAUAGUAAAUUGAUAGAUUUAUAAAAUGAAUGUUAUUUUAAAGCAAAUGUUAUAGACUAAAAAUGAUUAUAGUUGCCAAGAUAAAAUUUCACUCAUUUAAAAAAAGAAAUGAAAAUUUAAAAAAUAGACAUCAAAAUUAAAAUUUGUUUCUUAUUGUUUGACUUGUAUUCACUUUUGCUCUCUACAGUUUUACCAAUGCACAAAGUGGUAGCAUCUUUAGGUAAACAAUUAGGUUGCUUAAGUAUAUAUGACUAAAUUAUCAAAUUUAUAACUAAAAUAAUAUAAAGAACAAAAUUACACAGUUUCAAAAUUAUAGGAGAAGUGAAUUGGAAACAAAAAAAAAAUAGUUGUUCUGAGUUAGCAUUAAAAAAAUCAAAACUUAGUUUUUUUUUUCCUUGAAAGUAGACUAAGUAAAAAAAAUAGUUGUUUUGAGUUAGCAUUAAAAAUGCUUCAUAAUAGAAGUUUAGAUGAAGGACUAGAGGGAAGAUUGUAACAACUUUAAAUAACUAAAAAGAUAGUGAAUAAAAAAACUAACUUAUUUACACAUGUGAAAAAUCUUAAUUAAUAAUUAAUUGGCAAGUGACUUGAAUUAAAUUAUGCUAAUUUGUAUAUUUUACUUAACUGUGCACUAUUGAACAUACUUUUGCAUAUGGAAGAUAGUGUCUUGACUGUGCAAGACAAGAAGAAAUUAACAAACAACAACUUCAAUGCUGAAAAGUAGACAGAAAUUGACAUAGAAAGUGGUAAGAAAUUUCCAAUAGCAAAAGACAUAAAGUGCUUUUUAUCUGCUCUAUAUAUUGCUCAUAAUCAUCUUGCACAAAACAAUUGUUCAACAGAUUUAGAGAAGAAACCAGACUUGUUCGUAGUUUUUCUCAGAGGUUUGGGAACAACCACAUUCUUCAGGUACUGUGUCCUUCGCCUUCCUUCACACUUUCAUCAAUUCCCUCAUAUCACAUAUUCACAGUAUGAUUCAUGAAUUUUCUCUUUACUUAAAUAUUAUUCAUGAAAGUAAAUUAUGUUUAGAGUAGGGUAAAACUACUAUAAACAAGUAUAUAUUAGACUUUUUAGAAUUUAAAUUAUCUUUUGUGAGUCGAAAAUAAAAUAAGGAAACUUCUGUACAUUUUAAACUUUUACUUUUAGGUUAGGUAAAAAUAGUUACCAUUAUUAAUUUAUACAUAUGAUCAAAUGAAAUCUUCUUCUGUUAAAUUACAUUCAAUCAUAGUGUUCUAAUUUAAAAUUUUCUUGUUAGUUUUCAAAAGUCAAAUCAUGCAAUAUAAUCCGGGUCAGGAUAUAUAUGGAAUGUUUGCAGACAUGAAAUAUAUUGUUUAGGAUUAAUGUUGGUCUAUAUCAUAUAAUAUGAAAAUAAAAAAUCUCCCUUUAUUAAUGAUUCUCUAUUAUUUUGUUGCAGAUUCAUCAUUGUUUGAUUGGCUCUGUGAACACAGCAGAACAUGGUUUUGAUCAAACCUCUUUCUUUCUCGUGACUACAGAAGUAUCACACACCUUCCUAUCUCUCGUGACUAUGGUAGUAGCCACAGAGGGACCACCGCAACCAUUUGUCUUCAUAACCAGUCUGUUUUUACUUUCAAAUUUAAAUCUGACAUCAAACUCAAACAUUAUAAAAAUCUCAAGAUAUUUUAAAGCGUACUAUGUAGCUUGAAUUUUGGAACAGAUCUCAGUACUAUACUUAACCAUUUCUGAUAAAAAAAAAAAAAAAACCAUAGUCUCUAGGGUUUGAGAGCAAGAAAAAGAUGGCUAUAUGGUGAUAAUUAAUAUGUGAAGCUAAAUUUAUAAGAAGAUUGUGCGAUGAAUGAUGAAUAUUGUAUGAUAGUCAUACAUUCGUGAUUUGUUUUGUCGCAUGUAUAUAUAUCUAACUGUCGAAGAGGGUGAACCACGAGGGCAUCACAUGCUGAGGAGGCAAAGUUGUUCAGCUUUAUUUUUUUGUGUCUAUCCUUUCUCGACCAAGAAUGGAAGCAAAGAUUGAGAAUUACAAUGUUGAAAACUUGGUUGUGUCUUGAUAUCACAUUAUUAUCAUCACUUGCAUCCAAAACUCAUUCAUUGGUAUGUAGUCCCAUCUAAUCUGGUAACCCUCUUCUUCAAUAGCCACCUUUCAAUGUUCCGAUAGCAUCCCCACAUGCAUUGGUCUCUUCUUACCUUCACACCUUCCACGAAGUUUCCUAUUUUCCCUUCAAUUUUAUACUUGAUAUCAACUUAUGCACACUUGCCUAUAUAUGCAAGCAACUUCCUUUCUUCCAUUAUCUUUCUUUUAGCCCUAUUAUGCACAACUCUCCAAUGAUUUCUUUACAGCCAUACAAAAUAAUUAUUGCUUGCAAAGUUUUUUAAAAUUCUCAAAUUAGUUGCGCUUUUAUCAUUAAAUACUUCUUUUACAUAAUUUUGAAUUCAUAUUUUGCAAAUAAAAAUAUGUAGUUCAAUUUAAAGUGCUCAACUAAACUUAAUUUGGUAGUAGGUUAAUUAGUCCCUAUAUAUUGUUUACAAAGAUUUGAUUAAAUUUUAGCUACAUUAUCAAACGAGUUUUAUGUUGAAACAAAUGGUAAUGUUAUUUAAGAGAAAAGUAUUGAUAUUGAGUCAUUUAUAAAAAUUACAAAAGUAUAGUAAGCACUACCUUUAACAAAUUUAUAAUAGAAGGUAAUUUAUAUCUAGGAAAUUUAGGUUUAGGUGACCUUGUAAAAUCAUAAAAUGAAGAUAGUUUCUCAUUUAAAUGACUCUGCAAAUUAUGG